UGCCAGCCGCCGCGGUAAUACGGAGGGUCCAAGCGUUAUUCGGAAUUACUGGGCGUAAAGCGCGCGUAGGCGGUUUGGUAAGUUUGAUGUGAAAGCCCACGACUCAAUCGUGGAAGUGCAUUGGAUACUGCCAGACUAGAGUACAGGAGAGGUAAGCGGAAUUCCAGGUGUAGAGGUGAAAUUCGUAGAUAUCUGGAGGAACAACAGAAGCGAAGGCGGCUUACUGGACUGUUACUGACGCUGAGGCGCGAAAGCGUGGGGAGCGAACGGGAUUAGAUA
rnacentral:rRNA from 1 species